rnacentral:rRNA from 2 species
AGGUUAAGUUAACAAGGGCGCAUGGUGAAUGCCUUGGCACUAGGAGCCGAUGAAGGACGGGACUAACACCGAUAUGCUUCGGGGAGCUGUACGUAAGCUAUGAUCCGGAGAUUUCCGAAUGGGGCAACCCAGCAGUUUUAAUCAACUGUUACCACUAGAUGAAUUCAUAGUCUAGUUGGAGGUAAACGCUGUGAACUGAAACAUCUCAUUAGCAGCAGGAAUAUAAAGAAAUUUCGAUUCCCUAAGUAGCGGCGAGCGAACGGGGAACAGCCCAAACCAAAGUGCUUGCACUUUGGGGUUGUAGGACUGAACAUUUGAGUUACCAAAGAACUUGAUAGUCGAAGGAUUUGGGAAAAUCCGCCAUAGAUGGUGAUAGCCCAGUAGAUUAAAUCAAAUUCUCUCAGUUCAGGAUCCUGAGUACGGCGGAACACGUGAAAUUCCGUCGGAAUCCGGGAGGACCAUCUCCCAAGGCUAAAUACUACCUAGUGACCGAUAGUGAACCAGUACCGUGAGGGAAAGGUGAAAAGCACCCCGGGAGGGGAGUGAAAUAGUUCCUGAAACCAUGUGCCUACAAUAAGUCAGAGCGCGUUAAUGCGUGAUGGCGUGCCUUUUGUAGAAUGAACCGGCGAGUUAUGAUCCCGUGCAAGGUUAAGACUAAAAAGUCGGAGCCGUAGCGAAAGCGAGUCUGAAAUGGGCGUUUUGAGUACGAGGUUAUAGACCCGAAACCAGGUGACCUAUCCAUGUCCAGGUUGAAGGUGCGGUAAAACGCACUGGAGGACCGAACCCGUGUAAGUUGAAAAUUGCUGGGAUGAGGUGUGGAUAGCGGUGAAAUUCCAAACGAACUUGGAGAUAGCUGGUUCUCUCCGAAAUAGCUUUAGGGCUAGCCUCGGAAUUAGGAUCAUGGAGGUAGAGCACUAUUUGGACUAGGGGCCCGUCUUGGGUUACUGAAUUCAGAUAAACUCCGAAUGCCAUUGAUUCAUAUCCGGGAGUCAGACGAUGAGUGAUAAGAUCCACCGUCGAAAGGGGAACAGCCCAGACCAUCAGUUAAGGUCCCUAAAUGUAUGCUAAGUGGAAAAGGAUGUGGAGUUGCAUAGACAACUAGGAUGUUGGCUCAGAAGCAGCCACCAUUUAAAGAGUGCGUAAUAGCUCACUAGUCGAGUGAUCCUGCGCCGAAAAUGUACCGGGGCUAAGCAUACUACCGAAACCAUGGAUGCGACCAUUAGGUCGCGUGAUAGGAGAGCGUUCUAAGGGCGGUGAAGCAAGAUCGUGAGGACUUGUGGAGCGCUUAGAAGUGAGAAUGCCGGUAUGAGUAGCGAAAGAUAGGUGAGAAUCCUAUCCACCGAAUGACUAAGGUUUCCUGGGGAAGGCUCGUCCUCCCAGGGUUAGUCGGGACCUAAGUCGAGGCCGAGAGGCGUAGACGAUGGAUAACAGGUUGAGAUUCCUGUACUAGUUAAGUGCGUUUGAGCAAUGGAGGGACGCAGGAGGCUAAGAUGUGCAUUCUGUUGGAUUAGAAUGUCCAAGCAGUAAGUCUUGUGAAGAGUCAAAUGCUUUUCACUUUAAGGACAAGCUGUGAUGGGGAGCGAAAUUUAGUAGCGAAGCGUCUGAUGUCACAUUGCCGAGAAAAGCUUCUAGUGAGUACUUAACUACCCGUACCGCAAACCGACACAGGUAGUCGAGGAGAGAAUCCUAAGGUGAGCGAGUGAACUCUCGUUAAGGAACUCGGCAAAAUGACCCCGUAACUUCGGGAGAAGGGGUGCUGAUCGCAAGAUCAGCCGCAGUGAAUAGGCCCAGGCGACUGUUUAUCAAAAACACAGGUCUCUGCAAAAUCGUAAGAUGACGUAUAGGGGCUGACGCCUGCCCGGUGCUGGAAGGUUAAAAGGAUGGGUUAGCUUCGGCGAAGCUCAGAAUUGAAGCCCCAGUAAACGGCGGCCGUAACUAUAACGGUCCUAAGGUAGCGAAAUUCCUUGUCGGGUAAGUUCCGACCCGCACGAAAGGCGUAACGAUCUGGGCACUGUCUCAACGAGAGACUCGGUGAAAUUAUAUUGUCCGUGAAGAUGCGGACUACCCGCGACAGGACGGAAAGACCCCAUGGAGCUUUACUGUAGCUUGAUAUUGAGUGUUUGUACAGCUUGUACAGGAUAGGUAGGAGCCAUAGAAACCGGAACGCUAGUUUCGGUGGAGGCGUUGGUGGGAUACUACCCUCGCUGUAUGACCACUCUAACCCGCACCACUAAUCGUGGUGGGAGACAGUGUCAGGUGGGCAGUUUGACUGGGGCGGUCGCCUCCUAAAAAGUAACGGAGGCGCCCAAAGGUUCCCUCAGAAUGGUUGGAAAUCAUUCGCAGAGUGUAAAGGCACAAGGGAGCUUGACUGCGAGACAGACAGGUCGAGCAGGGACGAAAGUCGGGCUUAGUGAUCCGGUGGUACCGUAUGGAAGGGCCAUCGCUCAACGGAUAAAAGCUACCCUGGGGAUAACAGGCUUAUCUCCCCCAAGAGUCCACAUCGACGGGGAGGUUUGGCACCUCGAUGUCGGCUCAUCGCAUCCUGGGGCUGUAGUCGGUCCCAAGGGUUGGGCUGUUCGCCCAUUAAAGCGGUACGCGAGCUGGGUUCAGAACGUCGUGAGACAGUUCGGUCCCUAUCCGUCGCGGGCGUAGGAAAUUUGAGAGGACCUGUCCUUAGUACGAGAGGACCGGGAUGGACAUACCUCUGGUGUACCAGUUGUGCCGCCAGGCGCAUCGCUGGGUAGCUACGUAUGGAUGUGAUAAACGCUGAAAGCAUCUAAGUGUGAAACACACCUCGAGAUGAGAUUUCCCAUUCCUUUAUGGAAGUAAGACCCCUGAAAGAUGAUCAGGUAGAUAGGUUAGAAGUGGCAGUGCGGUGACGCAUGAAGCGGACUAAUACUAAUCGGUCGAGGACUUAACCAAG